UUUUUUUUAAUAAUUUAGUUUCGACCUAAAUAAUUUGUUAUAUAUAAUAAAAAAAU
rnacentral:tRNA from 1 species